rfam:Cricetulus griseus cell line CHO-K1, whole genome shotgun sequence.
GAAGAUGGCCUGGCUGUGGCAUCUUACCACAUCGAUUGACAGGCUUGAUUCGGCUAUCUUGCCUAGCUAGGUGGGUGUCCCUCAUUGUUUCAUGGGUCCCUCUUGAAGGUUCAUGCUUGAUAGAUGAGGACAGCCUUCCUGAUAUAGGAGGACCAUGCUUCCCUUCUAGACCUUUCGCCUAACUCUCAAGAGUGAGCCCUAUUUUAGACUAUGGACUUCCAUUAAUAGUAGUCUAUUAAUAUUUUAAAUUUUAAUUUAUUUAUUGUGUCUGUAUGU